CAGUCGCCGCGGUAAUACGUAGGGGGCGAGCGUUGUCCGGAAUUACUGGGCGUAAAGGGCACGCAGGCUGUGAUUCAAGUCAGCUGUAAAAGGAUGCGGCUUAACCGUGUUUAGCAGUUGAAACUGGAUGACUGGAGUGCUGGAGAGGCAAGUGGAAUUCCCAGUGUAGCGGUGAAAUGCGUAGAUAUUGGGAAGAACAUCGGUGGCGAAGGCGACUUGCUGGCCAGUAACUGACGCUGAGGUGCGAAAGCCAGGGUAGCAAACGGGAUUAGAUACCCCCGUAGUCCCUGUCUCUUAUACA
rnacentral:rRNA from 1 species